rnacentral:rRNA from 1 species
AGAUUGAACGCUGGCGGCAGGCCUAACACAUGCAAGUCGAGCGGCAGCACGGGUACUUGUACCUGGUGGCGAGCGGCGGACGGGUGAGUAAUGCCUAGGAAUCUGCCUGGUAGUGGGGGAUAACGCUACGGAAACGGACGCUAAUACCGCAUACGUCCUACGGGAGAAAGCAGGGGACCUUCGGGCCUUGCGCUAUCAGAUGAGCCUAGGUCGGAUUAGCCAGUUGGUGAGGUAAUGGCUCACCAAGGCGACGAUCCGUAACUGGUCUGAGAGGAUGAUCAGUCACACUGGAACUGACGACACGGUCCAGACCUCCGUACGGGAGCAGGCAGGUGGGAAUACGUUGGACAAGUGGGACGAAAGUCCUGACUCCGAGCCAGCGUCGCGGUGUGUAGUAAGUACGGUCUUCGGAGUUUAACGGUAAAGUCGUUAACGUUUUAAGGUCGGG